GACACGCUUCGGAGCAUACACACGGAGCAGUCGCGUUCGCGCGCUCUCAAUCACCCAUGCUCUGAGGAAAGUCCCCGGGCACUACGGCAGAAAGUGCCACCCGUAAAG
rnacentral:RNase_MRP_RNA from 13 species